AGGCAAUGAUCUCACCGGGCGUGGGUCGCUGGCUGUUAACCAGCAGAUGGGAGGUUCGAGUCCUCUAUUGCCUGCCA
rnacentral:tRNA from 1 species